rnacentral:RNase_P_RNA from 1 species
UUGGUGGGGUGAGGCGGUCGCGGCCCGCCGUGCGCGGGUCGAGGAAAGUCCGAGCUCCGUAGGGCAGACUGCCAGGUAACGCCUGGGCGUCGAAAGGCGACGGAAAGGGCCACAGAAAGCAAACCGCCCACUUUGGUGGGUAAGGGUGAAAGGGUGGGGUAAGAGCCCACCGCACGUCUGGCAACAGAUGUGGCACGGCAACCCCCAGUUGGAGCAAGGCCAAAUAGGCGGUGAGGCCCGGCCCGGGCCGUCCGAACCGCGGGUAGGCCGCUAGAGGCAGCGGGCGACCGGUGCCCCAGAUAGAUGACCGCCCGAGCGCCAUGAGCGCGCGAACAGGACUCGGCUUACGGCCCCACCAGCCUC